GUUCCGAGGCAUAUCUCUUUACGUUGAAAUUUGAAGAUUUAGACUCGCCAUCUGGAAUCUUUAACGCGGUGUUUAGAACCUUUAACACAUGCCCUGGCUUCGUCGCGUUGUUCACUUGAUCAUGGGUCAGUACUGGACGUGUUAUUUAAAUAAAAAAGGCCACAUCUCCACAACAGCGUGACGUUUACGGGGCCUGUUUUUGUUUGCAGAUCUGACUUACCAGGGAAUCAAUCAUUUCAGAAGGCCUCCGUCGAUGUAAAGGUUACGCCACGGCUCUUAUUGAAAAUUGGGGACUGAUUCAGGUGUCAAGAGUCAACAUGCGGCUGGAUGGAUAUCGUCUUCCCAUCAGGGCAACGUUUUAUCUGGACCAUGUAAUGAAUACCUUUGUAGAUUUG